UACGUAGGGUGCAAGCGUUGUUCGGAAUUACUGGGCGUAAAGCGUGCGUAGGUGGUUUGUUAAGUCUGGUGUGAAAGCCCUGGGCUCAACCUGGGAACGGCAUUGGAAACUGGCUUACUAGAGUGCGGUAGAGGGGAGUGGAAUUCCCGGUGUAGCAGUGAAAUGCGUAGAUAUCGGGAGGAACAUCUGUGGCGAAGGCGACUCCCUGGACCAGCACUGACGCUGAGGCACGAAAGCGUGGGGAGCAAACAGG
rnacentral:rRNA from 1 species